rnacentral:snRNA from 1 species
AGAAUGAAAAGCAGAGGAAUACCAUGAUCAUGAAGGUGAUUUUCCCAGAGCGAGGCUUAUCCAUUGCACUCCGGGUGUGCUGACCCCUGCGAUUUCCCCGAAUGUGAGAAACUCAACUGCAUAAUUUGUGGUCAUGGGGGACUGUGUUCUCGUUCUCCCUUA